CCGCAGGGUUGUGUGCAGCGAUCUCCCCCCUGCCGUGUACACAGAGAGCGAGGCAGUCUGAAGCUGGGCUUUGCUUCCUGGUUGCUGGCCCCUCCCACCACACUGAGUCAGAUGGCAGCGUGUAGCAGCACAUUCCCUCCUCCUGCUCCUCCAUACGAUGUGCCUGUGCAGUGCUGCCUUCCCACAGACCCACAGUGUCCUGGGGCCGGCCCCAGUCCUUAUUGGAAGGAACUACAUAUAGCCAGCUCUAAGAAUGUCAUCGAUCAUCGAUUUUGUUUUGGGAUGCGCGAUGCGCGCGGAUGAAGGACUGACCACUAUUGAAAGAAAUAUCUUGUCCUUUGUGGAUGUGUUAGAGACAAUAAGGAGAUCUCGUAACCCCCAAAACAGAAAAGACAAUCAAAUAAGAACAAGAUGAAACACCACCGCCAGGGAGAUUAGUGUGGGUGUGACCGCGCUGGUGUGGGUGACAACAUCAACUGCUGCCUAAUCCUAGUCAGUGGGGGGUUGCAGUUACACUGAGGUCCAUGGUGAGGUCAGCUGUGAUCACGCGGUAAUCCUCUAGGAGAGGCCGGCAGACUGGAGGAAGU